rnacentral:rRNA from 1 species
GGGACCUCACCGUCCCCCGAUUAAACGCGGAGAAAGCUAGCGGGCGAGCCCCAUGAAUGCAACAACUUGUAGAAAUAUUCCGUUGUCAGUCGUUGUGGUGGCCGCCAGCCYCUAAACCCGCGGWCCCCGKUCCUAGACGUUUGACCUCAAAUCGGGCGAGGAUACCCGCUGAACUUAAGCAUAUCAAUAAGCGGAGGAAAAGAAACCAACAGGGAUUGCCUCAGUAGCGGYGAGUGAAGCGGCAAGAGCUCAGAUUUGAAAUCCGGUGCGGUCCCCGCGCNUGAGUUGUAAUCUGGAGAGGAUGCCCCGGCGAGGCCGGCCGUCCAAGUUCCUUGGAACAGGACGUCUUAGAGGGUGAGAACCCCGUACCCGGCGGCCUGCCGAGCCGCGUGGGGCUCCUUCGACGAGUCGAGUUGUUUGGGAAUGCAGCUCAAAAUGGGUGGUAAAUUCCAUCUAAAGCUAAAUACCGGCGGGAGACCGAUAGCGCACAAGUAGAGUGAUCGAAAGAUGAAAAGCACUUUGAAAAGAGAGUUAAAAAGUACGUGAAAUUGUUGAAAGGGAAGCGCUUGCCAUCAGAAUCGGGGCCGUCCGAUCAGCGUUCCUUAUGGUUCGUGCACUCGGUCGGUUCCCGUGCCAGCAUCGGUGGCCGCGGCGGGACAAAGGCGGCGGGAACGUGGCUCCCCUCGGGGAGUGUUAUAGCCCGCCGCGCAAUGCCGCCAGCUGGCCACCGAG